UACGUAGGUGGCAAGCGUUGUCCGGAAUUAUUGGGCGUAAAGCGCGCGCAGGCGGUCCUUUAAGUCUGAUGUGAAAGCCCACGGCUCAACCGUGGAGGGUCAUUGGAAACUGGGGGACUUGAGUGCAGGAGAGAAGAGUGGAAUUCCACGUGUAGCGGUGAAAUGCGUAGAUAUCCGGAGGAACACCAGUGGCGAAGGCGACUUUCUGGCCUGUUCUUGACGCUGAGGCGCGAAAGCUAGGGGAGCAAACGGG
rnacentral:rRNA from 1 species